rnacentral:rRNA from 1 species
AUUGAACGUUGGCGGCGUGGAUUAGGCAUGCAAGUCGUACGGGUCCGGCUUCGGCCGGGCCAGUGGCGGAAGGGUGAGUAAGGCGACGGCAACCAACCCCGAGGUUGGGUAUAGCCGCGGGAAACCGCGGGUAAUCCCCAGCGAUGUGACGACGCCGGCAUCGGCGUUUCACCAAAGGCGCAAGCCGCCUUGGGACGGGCCGUCGUGGUAUUAGGUAGUUGGCGGGGUUGCGGCCCACCAAGCCGAUGAUGCCUACCGGGCGUGCGGGCGUGGCCCGGCACACUGGGACUGAGACACUGCCCAGACUCUUACGGGAGGCUGCAGUCGAGAAUCUUCGGCAAUGGGCGCAAGCCUGACCGAGCGACGCCGCGUGGAGGAUGAAGGCCCUCGGGUUGUAAACUCCUGUCGAGGGGGAGGAAGGGGCAACCUUGACCGAUCCCUGGAGGAAGCACGGGCUAAGUUCGUGCCAGCCGCCGCGGUAAUAC